rnacentral:rRNA from 1 species
GUCGAGAAUCAUUCACAAUGGGGGCAACCCUGAUGGUGCGACGCCGCGUGGAGGAUAAGGUCUUCGGAUUGUAAACUCCUGUCAUGCGAGAGCAAGGCCUGUGCGGGUAACUCUGCUGGGUUUGAUAGUAUCGCAAGAGGAAGAGACGGCUAACUCUGUGCCAGCAGCCGCGGUAAUACAGAGGUCUCAAGCGUUGUUCGGAAUCACUGGGCGUAACGGGUGCGUAGGCGGCGUGGAAAGUCAGAUGUGAAAUCCGGGGGCUCAACCUCCGAACAGCAUCCGAUACUCCCAUGCUGGAGAACUGGAGGGGGAUCUGGAAUUCUCGGUGUAGCAGUGAAAUGCGUAGAUAUCGAGAGGAACACUAGUGGCGAAGGCGAGAUCCUGGACAGUUUCUGACGCUGAUGCACGAAGGUCAGGGGAGCAAACGGGAUUAGAAACCCGAGUAGUCC